UGUGUUGCCCCUUUUGUCUGGUUUAUUCCAGCUAGCAGCCUGCCUGUUUGGUAAAAUGUUCACUGCAGUUGUAGGAAGCUACAGCGGCUGGAGCGGCUCCUGACGUGCUCUCCUUGUGUGUAUGUGUGUGUGUGCCACGCAGCUGCUCAGAGAGGCUGAGCAUCUGUGGUAGGGACGUGGUGUUGUCAGUGGUGGUAUCCUUCCCUGUGUGAUGUGUGAACCCUGGGUAUUUUUCGUUUCAUCCAUCACCUGUGUGUGUGAUUUUAUUCACCUGGUGACCUCUCCCUGUUCCUCCCCUCUGGUGACACAUCCUGCCACAUGGAUGGAUCUGCAGAGACUUUGAUUCAUCUGCCGUCUGGACAUGGAGUGAUGUGGGUCUCCUCUAAUCAGACAGUGGGAUGCUGCAAGUCACUAGACUGACCUCCUGUGCUUUGGAAGGGGAGGAGCUCACAGCGCCACCUGCUGCUCGUUGAGGACAAUGCACAAUGAGGGACGUCUGCAGAGACUGAGAAAGAGUCUCAUCACAUCCUGACAUGAGGAAAAAGACUUCAUUGAAGACUACAAUGAGAAAAACUAUCAGACAGCAGACGGCUGCAUUCAAGUCUGUAGCUGCUGAAUUCAUGGAUGAAUCAUCUGGCACUAGAGAGGAAGACCAUCAAACAUCCACAUCAGCUGAUGGAGGUCCAAGAGUCUCACCCAACAAACAACCUACAGAGUGAAGACCUCCAAUCUGAUUGGACGGCCUCCUAUUCAGCCACAUUUUAGGCUGCUAGAUUGUUCCAGAUAAGACAAGUACAAGAUUCUUCAGAGCUGUUCUACCACGAGCCUGACAGGAAGAACUCCAACAGCUACUGAAUGUUCCUGUGGUUCCCUCAAGGCUACAGGAGGAGCCCUACGAGGACGAGCCGGUCCACCUGAUGGCGGCCAGUCGCUGCGGUUCAAAGCCAACACCGACUACGUGGACUUCUACUGGACCACACGGAGGCCUUCAAACCGGACCAACAAGUUCAGCGACUCCCCGACUCGUGGGUCUGAGGACGCCGCCGAGCCUCGGUCCAGCCGGCCUCCUGUCUGUGGGUGUUUGAGUGCUGAGAGGUUUGUGGAUGCAUGUGAACGUUCUGUGUUGAAACAGCAGCUUUGGACUCAGUAACGCCGGGAAAAACCAAGAGCUCCUUUAUUUGUGACUUCCACUAAAAAAACUGAUGAAAAUAAGUUUGCCAGGGUUCUGACUGAUAACAGAUUAUUAAAUAAUGAAAAUAACUGUUUAAAUAUUCCUUUAAACAAUCCUUAGGUCUACAUUUCCUUUACACUGACUUCUUGGUAAAUGUACAAGUAUUUUUGGUGGAAUGUACCAUUAAGCCUAAUGUUCAAGGGUUCUUCUGGGAACAUACCAUUAAACCAACCUUUUAGGUAAAUGUUCCAGGAUGUUGGGUAGAAUAUACCAUCAGAUCAACCUUUUAGAUGUACAUUGGAAGAUUUUAGAGUGGAAUAUUACUCCAAACUCCUUUACACCAAGAUUUUUUGGUCUACAUUGAAGGAUUUUAGGUGGAAUAUUCCUUUGAACGAACUUUUUAAGUUUAUGUUCCAAGAUGUUGGGUGGAAUAUACCAUCAGACCAACCUCCAAGGUCUACAGUAGUGAAUUUUAGGUGGAAUAUACCAUUAAACUCACCUUUUAGGUCUACAUUGGAGGAUUUUAGGUGGAAUUUUCUUCCAAACAUCUUUUAGUCUACAUUUAAGGAUGUUUAGGAUGGUAUAUUCUUCCAAACCAACUUCUCAGGUCUACAUUUCAGGUGGAAUAUUCCUCCAUACUAUCUUUUUUGGUCUACAUUGAAGGAUUUUUUCUAAACCACCCUUUGGGGUCUAUAUUUGAGGUUUUAGGUGGAAUAUUCCUUUAAACCAACCUAAAUUUCAUGUUUUGAUCAUUAUCAAGUGAGAAACCUCAGUCCAGACUCCUCAUAACGACGUUUGAGAUUUAUGCUGCUGUUAUUUGUUUAGUCCAGACUAAAUGACAGAAAUCCACAACUGUAAUUUUAUUUCAGGACUCGGUUAUUAAAUGUCAAAACAAUCUAUGUGACUCUAAAAACUCAACAGCUUUACAAACUCUAAGAUUAAACUCUCCACAAGGAUCUAAAAUAGGUUGGACUUCUACAUGAGAGCUUUAAUUAUUCUUCAUCUACUUCCUGAAAAGUUUGGUCAAUAAAAAAGACAAAAACUAAUAUUUUCAGCUGAACUAAAGACAGACUUUGUGAUUUUUCUGCUCACAUGUUGUGUUGUUGUAAACUUCCUCUUUCAAAUAAAUAGCCUCCUAACCCCCUGGAAA